GCUCUGUUCGUCUAUCGGUUAGGACACCAGGUUUUCAACCUGGGAAGAGGAGUUCAAUUCUCCUACAGAGUA
rnacentral:tRNA from 2 species